rnacentral:rRNA from 1 species
GACAUAGGUCGCGAACGUUAUCCGGAAUUAUUGGGCGUAAAGGGUGCGUAGAUGGUAAAGUAAGUUAUCAGUGGGAAAUCGAGGCUCAACCUCGUGGAAGUUGGUAAUACUGCUAUACUAGAGUGCAGGAGAGGUUAACGGAACUCCAUGUGGAGCGGUAAAAUGCGUAGAUAUAUGGAAGAACAUCAAUAACGGCGAAGGCAGUUAACCAUUCUGCUACUGAUAUUGAGGCACGAAAGCGUGGGGAGCAAAAAGG